UACGGAGGGUGCGAGCGUUGUCCGGAAUCAUUGGGCGUAAAGGGCGCGUAGGUGGCCCGGUCAGCGUGCGGUGAAAGCUCGGGGCUCAACCCCGAGUCGGCCGUGCGAACUGCUGGGCUUGAGCACUGUAGAGGCAGGCGGAAUUCCGGGUGUAGCGGUGGAAUGCGUAGAGAUCCGGAAGAACACCGGUGGCGAAGGCAGGUCUCUGGGCAUUAACUGACGCUGAGGAGCGAAAGCAUGGGGAGCGAACAGG
rnacentral:rRNA from 1 species